AUGCCGGCCACCCCUCUCGUCCUCGCCCUCUUGCUUCUGCUCCUCGCCGCCGGGCCGCUCCCCGUGGCCCCCGCCUCCACCGACCGCGCUGCGCUACUCGCCUUCCGGGCGUCCCUCUCCCCGCCCUCCCGCGCGGCGCUCUCGUCCUGGCACGGCCCGCUCUCCUCGUCCUGGCUCGGGGUCUCGCUCCACCCACCCGCCGUGGCCGCUCCGCCCUCCGUCACGGCGCUCGCGCUCCAGGGACUCAACCUCUCCGGGCCGCUCCCUGCCCCUUCGCUCGCGCUCCUACGCCGCCUCCGAGAGCUCGACCUCUCCGCCAACGCGCUCUCCGGCGAGCUCCCCUGCUCCCUACCGCGCUCGCUUGUCGACCUCGACCUCUCCCGCAACGCGCUCUCGGGUGCCAUCCCCACCUGCCUCCCUGCCUCGCUCCCGGCCCUCCGCACCCUCAAUCUCUCGUCCAACUCUCUCGGGUUCCCACUUUCCCCGUGGUUCUCCUUCUCCUCGCGCCUCGUUGCCCUCGAUUUCUCCAGCAACGCCCUCUCUGGCGCCGUCCCGCCGCGUAUCGUCGCCGACCCCGACGCAUCCAGCCUCCUCCUCCUCGACCUCUCCCACAACCGCUUCUCCGGAGAGAUCCCUGUGGGGAUAACCGCUAUACGGAGCCUGCAGGGCCUGUUCCUUGCGGACAAUCAGCUGUCCGGGGAGAUCCCAGCCGGGAUUGGGAACCUGACCUACUUGCAGGCGCUUGAUUUGUCACAUAACCGGCUGUCCGGUCUAGUGCCUGCGGGGCUUGCCGGCUGCUUCCAGCUUCUGUACCUGCGUCUCGGGGGGAAUCAGCUCUCUGGGGCGCUGCGGCCGGAGCUUGAUGCACUUGAUAGUCUGAAGGUUCUAGAUUUGUCGAACAACCGGAUAUCUGGUGAGAUUCCGCUGCCGCUGGCUGGGUGCCGGUCUCUUGAGGUGGUGAUCUUGUCGGGAAAUGAGAUCACUGGGGAGCUCAGUGGGGCUGUGGCGAAAUGGCAGAGCCUGAGGUCCCUGUCGCUGGCUGAUAAUCAGCUCUCCGGCCAGCUACCAGAUUGGAUGUUCUCAUUCCCGGUUCUCCAGUGGCUUGAUUUGUCUGGCAAUAGGUUUGAGGGUUUCAUCCCUGAUGGUGGUUUCAAUGCAAGUUCAGUGCUUAAUGGCGCAGGUGGUGCUCAGGGCAUUCCAUCCCGCCGUGGUAUGAUUUCACCUCAAUUGUUUGUGUCAGCAUCUGUAGAUUCCACAGGUCAGCAGCUUGAGCUUGGUUAUGAUCUUCGGGCAGCUCCUGGUAUAGAUCUAUCAACGAAUUUGCUCCAUGGAGAGAUACCUGAAGGGUUGGUUGCAAUGAAGGGAUUGGAGUACCUGAACCUCUCUUGCAAUUACUUAGCUGGGCAGAUCCCUGCAGAGCUUGGGGGGAUGGGGAGGCUGCGGACGCUGGACUUCUCACAUAAUGGGCUGUCAGGGGAGGUGCCUCCUGUAAUUGCUGCCAUGACAGAGCUCGAGGCGCUUAACCUCUCUUACAAUAGCCUAUCUGGGCCUUUGCCAACAACCGAUGGGUUGCGGAAAUUCCCAGGAGCGUUGGCAGGAAACCCUGGGAUAUGCGGUGGGGAAGGGUGCACUAUGGAUGCAACGAUGCCAGAAGGGAAAAUUUCAGGAAAUAAUCGUCAUGGCUGGCUCAGUGACUGGCAUGGAGAGAAUGGAUGGGUGUCCCUUGGGGCGUUCUCUAUCAGCACGAUGACUAGCUUUUUUGUGUCGUUGGCAACCUUGCUAUGCUCCCCCAAGGCUAGGAAUUUCGUAUUUCGGCCUGUGAGGAUAGAAUAUUGA
rnacentral:rRNA from 1 species